rnacentral:lncRNA from 1 species
AGAGUCCAGGUUGGCGGGUCCUGGGGCGGAGUCAGGAUAGGGCGAUCCUGGAAGCUGGGCUUCAGAAGCGUCCAGGUUGGUGGCGUCCUGGAGGCGGUGCCUUGCGUGUGGGCAGGAUAAGAGUCCUGGAGGCGAGCAUUAGAGCGGGGAUAAACGCCAUUGGGUUCAGGAGGCGGGACUCAGAGCAGAGCCCAGGAGACAGGUCUUAGGGUGGGGCUAAGGCCAGACCCAGAGAAGGGCUCAGGAGGCGGGGCCGGGGCGGGGGGUUGACUAUGUCGUAGCACAUGGCCAGGCGGUGCGCGGACUCUGGGAGGCAGAGCUUUGGACGGGCCGACGUGGGGAGGGGCCCAGGGUCCAGGAGGCGGGGCCGAGUCCGGGCUGCCAGCUGCGCUCAGGAGGCGGGCCCUGGGAGGCGGAGCUUAGGGAGGGGCCGGUGUCGGGAGGGACCCAGGGACUGGGAGGCCGGUCGGGGCUGGGCUCAGGGGCCGAGACCUAGCUGGGCUUGGGGCGGGGCCGAGACGGAGCGAGGGAUCCAGGGUGUGGGAAACGGGGAGGGGUUUGAGGAGGGGAUCGGAAUGUGGCUCAAGUUGGGAGGCGUUACCUGCGGAGGGUUUGAGGCACGCCCAGGAGCGAGCCCACGGUCGGCCGACGCGGGGCCAGGGGCGGGCCCCAGGAUCCGGAGCUUCGGGCGGGGCCGAGUCUGGGUUUGGGGCCCGGGAGGCGGGGCCAGUUAGGGCGAGGGUCCCUGGGAUCGUCGGGUCAGGCCUUGGGCUAACGUAGACACUCUCGCAGUACCUCCGCCUUCAGGAAGGUCUUUUUAGCAGGGGCCUUACAGGUGCACGCUUCGGUCCUGGAGGCCUUAUCCUAACCUCUCCAUCAGCGCCACCCGUCUGGGGCCCGAAAGGAGGGAGCUUUCCCUCUGUCCUCCAGCCUUUGGACUGUCUCCAAACAAGCCAUUCGUUCACCAAAUACUUAUUAAGCACCUACCAUGUGCCUGACAAGGGAGAUGUAACGCUGUUGUUCCCCACCAGAACCAAAUGAGCGCAAGAUCUGACAAAGAAAAAAAAGGUUCAUCUUUUAUUCCCCCAAACACUUUCAUUUAAAUCAAGAGGAUGGGAUGUGGUUAUUGCUGUGUUUUUAGACAGAAUCAACGGUUUCUGUGUCUGAGAUGUUGCAUACACCCUCUCAGUCCCUCUAUCCUGAGAUGGAGUCACCUGAGGAUCCACAGCAAGUCCUAACCAGGGAUGGGUCUGGGUGAUUAAGGAAGGUUGGCUUCAGAACUGGGCCAGGGGCACUGCUUUGCUUUUGCUGUUUUGAUCAGCUCUCUGCCUGCAGGAGACAAGGAAAACCAAUGGGAACAGCUGGGGAAACUGAGUUACAGAGCUUUUCUGCACUGAGUCAUCAGGAGCAAAUGCUAGAUCAGAUAGGGUCUCUCUCUCUGCCACCCAGGCCAGAGUGCAGUUGACGCAGGGCAGGGGAGCCCCGAAGUGGAGCAUAGUGUGUCCGGAACUGGUGGGUUCUUGGUCUCACUGACUUCAAGAAUGAAGCCGUGGACCCUCACGGUGAGUGUCACAGUUCUUAAAGGCGGCGUGUCUGGAGUUUGUUCCUUCUGAUGCUCGGAUGUGUUCAGAGUUUCUUCCUUCUGGUGGGUUUGUGGUCUCGCUGGCUUCAGGAGUGAAGCUGCAGACCUUCAAAGUGAGUGUUACAGCUCUUAAGGUGGCGCGUCUGGAGUUGUUUGUUCCUCCCAUUGGGUUCAUAGUCUCGGUGGCUUCAGGAGUGAAGCUGCAGACCUUCGAGGUGAGUGUUACAGCUCAUAAAGGCAAUGUGGACCCAAAGAGUGAGCAGCAGCAAGAUUUAUUGCAAAGAGCAAAAGACCAAAGCUUCCACAGUGUGGAAAGGGACCCCAGUGGGUUGCCACUGCUGGCUGGGGCAGCCUGCUUUUAUUCCCUUAUCUGGCCCCACCCACAUCCUGCUGAUUGGUCCAUUUUACAGAGAGCCGAUUGGUCUGUUUUACAGAGAGCUGAUUGGUCUGUUUUGACAGGGUGCUGAUUUGUGCAUUUACAAUCCCUGAGCUAGAUACAAAAGUUCUCCAAGUCCCUACUAGAUUAGCUAGACACAGAGUGUCGAUUGGUGCAUUCACAAACCCUGAGCUGGACACAGGGUGCUGAUUGAUGUAUUUACAAACCUUGAGCUAGAUACAGAGUGCCGAUUGGUGUAUUUACAAUCCCUUAGCUAGACAUAAAGCUUCUCAAAGUCCCCACCAGACUCAGGAGACCAGCUGGCUUCACCAAGUGGAUCCCACACGGGGGCCACAGGUGGAGCUGCCUGCCACUCCCACGCCCUGUGCUGGUACUCCUCAGCCCUUGGGUGGUUGAUGGGACUGGGCGCCCUGGAGCAGGGGGCGGUGCUCAUUGGGGAGGCUUGGCACUCAUCAGGGAGGCUCAGGCUGCGCAGGAGCCCACGGAGGGUUGGGGGGAGGCUCAGGCAUGGUGGGCUGCAUGUGCCGAGCCCUGCCCUGCAGGGAAGCAGCUAAGGCCCUGCGAGAAACUGAGCAAAGCAGCUGCUGGCACAGGUGCUAAGCCCCUCACUGCCUGGGUCCAGCGGGGCUGGCAGGCCACUCUGAGUGCUGGGCCCAGUGAGCCCAUGCCCACCCGGAACUCGCGCUGGCCCGCAAGCGCCACGCCCAGCCCCGGUUCCUGCCCAGGCCUCUCCCUCUACACCUCCCUGCAAGCUGAGGGAGCCGGCUCCAGCCUCGGCCAGCACAGGAAGGGGCUCCCACAGUGCAGCGGCGGGCUGAAGGGCUCCUCAAGUGCCGCCAAAGUGGGAGCCCAGGCAGAGGAGGCACCGAGAGUGAGCUCGAGGGCUGCCGGCAUGCUCUCACCUCUCAAUAGCACGUGAGCGUUCUUGUCUUUACCCAAGAAAGAAUUCAAGGGCAAGCCGGAGGUAUAGAAGAAAACAGCUUUAUUGAAGAGGCAGCAUUACAGCCCUGUGACUGCUCCUGUAGGGCAGGGUUACCCUGGAGGCAAAGAGUAGCGGCAGAGAGUUUGCAAUCACAUUUAUACCCACUUUUAAUUGUAUGCAGAUUAAAGGGCAGUUUAUGCAGGAAUUUCUAGAAAAUGGGUAGUAACUUUUGAGUCAUUGGGUCAUUGCCAUGGAAAGGGGCAGUAACUCCCGGGUGUUGCCUUGGCAAUAGUCAACUCACAUAGCACACUGGUGGGCAUGUCUGAUGGAAAGCUGCUUCUGCCCCAGCCCUGUUUUAGCUAGUCCUCAAUUUGGUCUGGUGUCCAAGCCUCGCCUGUGGAGUCAAGUCCUGCCUCCUAUCUCACAGUGGCGUGAUCAUGACUCACUGCAGACUCAACACCCCCGUGCUCAAGCAGUUCUCCCACCUCAGCCUCCUGAGUUGCUGGGACCACAGGCACGUGCCACUACGCCCAGCUACAUUUUUUUGCAUUUUUUGUAGAGAUGGUGUUUCACUGUGUUGCCUAGGCUGGUCUCAAACUCCUGGGUUCAAGCAAUAUACCUACCUUAGCCUUCUAAAGUGCUGGGAUUACAGGUGCGAGCCACUACACCCAGCCCAAACUUACAUUUUUAAUCUCAAGUCACUUCUCUCUAGGUUUUGAUUUCUUCUUUUAAAUAGUGGAACUAAGAGCCUCUAUUUUAUAGGGUUGUUGGGAAGACAAAAAUGAAAGAACUGCUAUUCAAUGUUUAGUGAAGCGCUAUGCACAAUUUUGAAUAAUGAAGUUGGUGUUUAUUUUUUAUUAUUUGUUUAUUUAUUUUUUAGAGACGGGGUCUUGUCUGCUGCUCAAGCUGGAGUGCAGUAGUGCAAUCACAGCUUCGUGCAGCCUUGACCUCCUGGGCUCAAGAAAUCCUGCCACCUCAGCCUCCUGAGUAGCUGGGACUACAGGCAUGCAUCGCCAUGUCUGGCUAUUUAUUUAUUUGUUUGUUUUUUGUAGUGUUGGGGUCUCCCUAUGUUGCCCGGGCUGGUCUUGAACUCCUUGCCUUAAGCAAUCCUCCUGUCUUGGCCUCUCAAAACACUGAGAUUACAGGUGUGAACCACCAUGGCCAGCCUUAUUUUUAUUUUUAAAUCAGCCUUGUCGAGUUGAAUUGGUCAUUAAUCUUGUAUAAUGGUAAUUUGGGGCAGCAUUGGUUGGGCGGGGGGUGGGGAACAUUUAGGACCCUGUGGGCUACAGCUCGUAGCGUGGGCACUUAUUUUAUUUUGUUUUGUUUUGUUUUGUUUUAUUAUAUUAUAUUACAUUAUAUUAUAUUAUAUUAUAUUAUAUUAUAUUAUAUUAUAUUAUAUUUUUUUGAGACAGUGUCUCACUCUGUUGCCCAGACUGGAGUGCAGUAGCACGAUCUUAGCUCACUGCAACCUCUGCCUCCCAGGUUCAAGCGAUUCUCCUGCCUCAGCCUCCAGAGUAGCUGGAACUACAGAUGCGCACCACCACGCCCAGGUAAUUUUUGUAUUUCUAGUAGAGAUGGGGUUUCACCAUGUUGGCCAGGCUUGUCUCAAACUCCUGACCUCAGGUGAUACACCUGCCUCAGCCUCCCAAAGUGCUGGGAUUAUAGGCGUGAGCCACCGUGCCCGGCUGUGCUCUUAUGUUUGAUUUUUGCAGAACCACCCUUCCCUAAUGGAUGUCUCCUAGAUCCAAGGUGACUUUAUUCAUUUUAGAAUGAACUUACCCCAUUGAUACUGUAACCAAAGUUGGCAUACAUCACGAUUGGCAGAACCCGGUCAUGUUUAGCGAGAUGGAAGUGUUCUGGAAACCCCUCCUUCUUGUAGAUGUGGAGGUGAGGGUACGCAUUCUUCAGUGCCUGGUAAAGGGCUUCCUCUUGCCCCAAUUUGGGCAGGGGCAUCCCAAAGCCACCGUAGCCCACAAUAUCAAACUUGACCAAGUCCAUAAACUUGAUGUAGUUGGACAAGGGAUCUUGUUGACAUUGGGUCUCUUCUUCACGGUGGUCAUCCCAUGGUCUCAUGUGAUGAUGACGCUGAGGUGUUCUGCAGGCUGUGCUUCUCAGUGGCUCCCACCAGAUACCUGAUGGUCCUGUCGAUUUGCUGAAUCAUCAACUUCCUAUUCUCUGCCUCUGGCCUGAAUCGAUGUCCCACGUUAUCUGGCUCUCUGUAACACAGAGUCACAAAGUCAAAGUCUUCCUUGGUGAACCAGUUCAUGACAGUAUCGAUGUUCGCACUCCGCUCUGUCUCGUUGCUGUUUGGGUGAGUGUAGGACUCCACCAGGGACUGCUUGACAGCCUCACCCUCGUAUUUAGCACCUCCCCUGGAAUAGUGGGAUGAUGCUGCUUUGUUGCCCUGCAAGUACAAGAAGAAAAUUCCGUCAGGGCCAUUUAUCAUACCUUUCUCACAAUCAGCAAAGCUCGAGUUGUCUACAUCUGUGCCCCAGUCCAAAGACAUAGAAAAUAUGUGGUCUUUGGAGUCAGACAGGGUGGAGUUAGAUUCUGGGCUUCCCCAGGAUCUCAUAGCAUCUACAACACUGUUAGUUACAAGAUGUGCUAUUAUUUUAUGGGCUACUAAGCAGAAAAAUGCUGCCAACGAGACCGUGACUUACCAGUGAUUGUAAGGUGUAUUCCAACUUCAGAGAUGGCAAAAUGAAAAAUAAUUCCUUAGAAUAGAGGGAGACGGUAAUUUCUGUGUUGUUGGUGGUGAAUUUGUGCAUGUGUGUUUUUUAUAUAUAUACAUAUAUAUAUAUAUAUAUAUAUACACACACAUAUACGUGUAUAUAUGUGUAUAUAUAGACAUACCUAUAUACAUAUACAUAUAUAUGUGUAUAUAUGGUGCUGCAGUGGUACAAUCAUAGCUCGUUGCACCCUUGAACUCCUGGGUUUAAGCGAUCCUCCCACCUCAGCCUCUUGAGUAGCUGGGGCCACAGGCAUGUACCACCAUACAUAUAUAUAUAUAUAUAUAUAUAUAUAUUUUUUUUUUUUUUUUUUUUUUUUUUUUUUUUGUGACACGGUGUCACUCUCUCACCUAGGCUGGAGUGCAGUGGCACGAUCUCAGCUCACUGCAACUUCUGACUCCUGGGUCCAAGCAAUUGUCCUGCCUCAGUCUCCCAAGUAGCUGGGAUUAUAGACACGUGCCACUAUGCCCAGCUAAGUUUUGUAUUUUUAGUUGAGAUAGAGUUUUGUCAUGUUGGCCAGGCUGGUUUCGAACCCCUGGGCUGAAGUGAUCCACCUGCCUUGGCCUCCCAAAGUGCUGGGAUUACAUGUGUGAGCCACCGCACCUAGCCCUAAUUUUUUUUUUUUUUUUUUUUUUUUUUGUAGAGAUGAGGUCUCGCUAAUUUGCCCAGGCUGGUCCUGAACUCCUGGGUUCAACUAAUUCUCCUGCCUCAGCCUCUCAAAGUGCUGGGAUUACAGGCAUGAGACACCACGCCAGGCUGGUGGUGAGUUUUAAAAUUUUCCAGUGCCUCAGUGUUUCUACCUGUAGAAUGCCAAAAAGUAGAUGGCAUCUUUGCGAGGAUGAAGCCGACUAGCUUUUUUUAAUUUUUUUUUGAGACAGAAUUUCUCUCUUGUCACCCAGGCUGGAGUGCAAUGGUGUGAUCUUGGCUCACUGCAACCUCUGCCUCCUGGAUUCAAGUGAUUCUCCUCUCUCAGCCUCCAAGUAGCUGGGAUUACAAAGCCAGCUAGCUUUAAGAUACAGUGUUGGGCAUCACAUUUUGGCACGGAGCAGGCACUCUUUUCUUUGCCCUCAGGUGGGACUUAGCCACCACAAGCCUUCCCUGGUGUGUGCAGUGGGUGAUGAAUGCUUGCCUGCUCAGCACCCACUACAUGGUGGGCUGGGUCACAUUACUCUGACUCCCCCUUGAGCUUCAGUCCGUGCCUGGUUCAAGAUGUAUUGACUCAACUCGAGGAUCCAGAGGUGGGAUGUGGCUCUGGCCUGGCCAGAGGACCGAAGAUGCUGCAUGCCAUGGCUACAGCAACUGGUUCAGCUUUGGGCUCAUGUCCUAGUCAGAGCCAAUGAGAUGUAAUCUUGGGAUAUCUGCUGGGCUGUUGGGAAGGGGACAGGCUGCCCUGCUCAUCCCCAUUCCUGAUGCUGAGGGAUCUGAGAAAAUCACUUGUAAAAUUCGGGGGUGUUUGGAAGAUGGGGAGACUGAUGUCUCCUUCUCUCUACAGACAUCUGAUCAGCUACAGAGCUUGACUGACCUACCCAGAGGCAGAAUGAUAUGGUGGUUAAAAGUGUGCCCUGGGCCGAGAUCUUGCCACUGCACUCCAGCCUGGGUGACAGAGUGAGACUCCAUCUCAAAAGAAAAAAAAAAGUGUGCUCUGGGCUGGUCGCAGGAGUUUAUGACUGUAAUCCCAGCAGUUUGGGAGGCUGAGGCAGGAGGAUCGCUUGAAGUCAGGAGUUUGAGAUCAGACCCUAUCUCUAGAAAAAUGUUUUAAAAAUUAGCUGGGUUGGUGGUGAAUGCCUGUAGUCCCAGCUACUCAGGAGGCUGAGGCGGGAAGAUUGCUGGAGCCCGGGAGUUCAAGGCUGCAGUGAGCCAUGAUCAGGCCACUGCACUCCAGUUUGAGGGACAGAGAGAGACCCCAUCUCCCUAAAGCACAAAAAAGUGUGCUCUGGUGCCACACUGCCUGGUUAGAUCCUUUGUCCACCACUUAGAUGCAUGUUAUAUAAAUGCUCUCCUCAGUUUCCUCAUCUGUAACUUGGGGAUGAUAAUGCUGCCCCAUUAAGUGGUUAUGGGGACUAAAUUCAUGUGGGCGCAUUGGUAAGUAUUCAACAAGCUUGAUUUUUUCCUGGAGAGGGAGAAAGAGCAUACAGUGAAGUGGCAUGCUCAGGUGCAUUGGGGCAAGGAUUAUUUCCUCUGGCUUCUGCCUCCUGGGAGGUACUAAGGAUGGAUCUGAAAUGUGUCUGCAGACCCCAGAGUUGGGGACUGCAGAGGGAAAUUGAGAUCAGGGACCCCAGUCUGGCAGAAAUGGGUGCAGCAUGGGGCAUUGGGUUCCUUCCAUCAGAGGCAUGGGGUGUGUUGCAGACAGUCAUGAGAUGUGGCUGAAUCUUGCAAGGGAGCUGCAGUCCUAGGGUUGCUGCUUGAGACAAUGACCGCUGUCAGUGGAACCUGGUGACCUUCACCCUUCUCUGUCAGGCUGCAGACAGCAAGAGAUGGCAGGAGGUUACACCCAACAGGAAAAGGGCCAUUGCUAUCCCACAGGUUGCCAUAGGAGGAGAUGACAUCUCUUCCCUCUCCUCCUCCAGCAGUGUCAGCUGGGGAAGAGGUGGGUGGGGGUGCACAAAAGAGUAGACCACAGACCAUGCUCCUUCUCCUCCAGUCUGCUGGGGCCCCAAGAGAGUCUGCAGCCCUUGGCCAGGGACCGGCUGAUACAGGAGAACAAAAGAUCUCAGUCUGGGAUAACAUGGUGGUGCAGCUGAUCCUCUGGAACUCCCUGUGAGAUCAGACUGGAGCCAGUCUCCAGCUGAGACCACAUCUCACUUAGCUCCUUCCCUGCCAUAUCCUGUUUUCCUUACUCCUAUCUACUGAGAGUCCUGAAUGAAUUACAUGCACUCAAUCCCUGCCUCAGGCUCUGCUUUUAGGGAACUUGACCUAAGACAGAUAUCUUAGUACUAAAUACUUUGCAAGGCCUCAGAAGCUCUGCUAUCCACAGGCAGGUGAGAUAUUACCUUCCCUACCACCUGGCAGUCAUAGUCUAUGAUGCGAUUCAGCUUUGUGGAAGUGCUUCUGUAAAGAACUUCCCCCAACUUAAGAUGAUCUUAAUUUGCUUACUUGUUUACUGUCCAUUUAGCUGCUGUAAAAUGUGAGCUCCAAAUCAGUGGUCAUGUCUGGUUAGUUACCCAUUUCCUGGGACCUAGAACGGGCCUAGCUCAGAGCAUGUGCUCACUAUUGAUGGAAUGCAUGUUGAAAGAACGCAUGAAUCUCAUCUCCUUUUGUGGGUGAAAAACUCAUCCUAUUCUCACUCCUGAUUAACUUUCCUUCUUUUUUUUUUUUUUUUUUUUUUUCAAAACGGAGCCAUGAUCUGUCACCCAGGCUGGAGUGCAAUGGUGUGAUCUCAUCUCGCUGCAACCUCUGCCUUCUGGAUUAAAGCAAUUCUCCUGCCUCAGCCUCCCGGGUAUCUGGGAUUACAGUUGCACGCCACCACACCUGGCUAAUUUUUUGUAUUUUUAAUAGAGACAGGGUUUCACCAUGUUGGCCAGGCUUGUCUUGAACUCCUGACGUCGUGAUCUGCCUGCUUUGGCCUCCCAAAGUCCUGGGAUUACAGGCAUGAGCCACCGUACCCAGCCACUCUUGAUUAACUUAAUGGAAAUAUUUACAGAGAUUCUUUCUCUUCUGGGUUCUAGCGUCUUAUCUGUAACCUCUGCAGGUAAUACAUUUUCCUUCCUGAUAAAAGCAUUUCUAUGGUUGCUUUUACUUGCAAAUCCUCUAAUACUUAUUUAUUCCAUUUCUGAUUGGCAUUAGACAUAAUUCUCAAUUUUUAGUGACAGCACUUUUGUUAACUUACAUAUCAAUCGACUUUGCCUUGAAAUGUGACAUUGACUAGAAGGAUGAAACUUCUAACAUGCUGUAGAACAUAGUUUCACUGGCUAACUUAUUAUUUAGAAGAAGCUAAUAUUGCCAUUAUGAGGGACUUAGGUGGCUCUGAAGAACCAGUUGUAUUUCUGAUGUUUGCAAUGUUAAAUCACAGAUAUUGCCAAUGUGAAAUAGGUUCUGUAUGCUGUGUUCUCAAUACACACCUUUUCCAAAGAUAUCCCAAGCUGUAGUCUUAGGAAACUGUGAUUUUUCUUAUUUGGUCUCAUAGGAAUUUGGGGAGCUAUGCAGGAUCUCCAUAAAAUGAGCUCCAGAAAGACACAUGUGUGCACAUGCACACACACUCACACACACACUCACACAUGUACCACACCACAAUUGACUGUUUAUUUGGGACCCACGAUUAUCAGAAGUG